ACAGUUAAUCUAUGUGUGUGUGUGUGUGUGUAUGUAUGUAUGUGUGUAUAUAUAUAUAUAUACACACACAUACAUACACACACACACACACACAUACACAUA
rnacentral:miRNA from 1 species